GGAAUAUUGGACAAUGGGGGAAACCCUGAUCCAGCAAUGCCGCGUGAGUGAAGAAGGCCUUAGGGUUGUAAAACUCUUUCACUGAUGAAGAUGAUGACGGUAAUCAGAGAAGAAGCCCCGGCUAACUCCGUGCCAGCAGCCGCGGUAAUACGGAGGGGGCUAGCGUUGUUCGGAUUUACUGGGCGUAAAGCGCACGUAGGCGGCAUAUCAAGUCAGAGGUGAAAGGCCUGGGCUCAACCUAGGAACGGCCUUUGAUACUGGUAUGCUUGAGUUCGGAAGAGGGUAGUGGAAUUCCAAGUGUAGAGGUGAAAUUCGUAGAUAUUUGGAAGAACACCGGUGGCGAAGGCGGCUACCUGGUCCGAUACUGACGCUGAGGUGCGAAAGCGUGGGGAGCGAACAGGAUUAGAUACCCCUGUAGUCC
rnacentral:rRNA from 1 species